ACUCUUUACUUUAAUGGAAGUUCACUAUAUUGUGAGUGGCCUUGGGCUAAAUAUUAAUUCCAUGAUUAGUGCUUGUGCUCUAGACAGCCAAUAUCAGGCUAAACGAGUACUAAAUAAUGGGUAAAAUAUAUGCCCCUUUUAGUUUGUGUUUCAGUUCCCACUAGAGUGGAAUGUAACUAUGUAGUAUAUCAGUGAUUCAUGAGAUAGUGAAUCAUUUUCAAGUGAAACAUAACUAAAAUUUUUACAAUUAAAUCGUAACAAGUUAUUACUUGAGAAGUGGCAAAGGGAAA